rnacentral:tRNA from 1 species
GCGGCCGUGGCGAAAUGGUAGACGCGCAGCGUUGAGGUCGCUGUGGGAUAACACCCAUGGAAGUUCGAGUCUUCUCGGCCGCACCA